rnacentral:rRNA from 1 species
GGUGAACGCUGGCGGUAGGCCUAACACAUGCGAGUCGAACGGCAGCACAGUAAGAGCUUGCUCUUACGGGUGGCGAGUGGCGGACGGGUGAGGAAUACAUCGGAAUCUACUUUUUCGUGGGGGAUAACGUAGGGAAACUUACGCUAAUACCGCAUACGACCUACGGGUGAAAGCAGGGGAUCUUCGGACCUUGCGCGAUUGAAUGAGCCGAUGUCGGAUUAGCUAGUUGGCGGGGUAAAGGCCCACCAAGGCGACGAUCCGUAGCUGGUCUGAGAGGAUGAUCAGCCACACUGGAACUGAGGCACGGUCCAGACUCCUACGGGAGGCAGCAGUGGGGAAUAUUGGACAAUGGGCGCAAGCCUGAUCCAGCCAUACCGCGUAGGUGAAGAAGGCCUUCGGGUUGUAAAGCCCUUUUGUUGGGAAAGAAAAGCAGCAGGUUAAUACCCCGCUGUUCUGACGGUACCCAAAGAAUAAGCACCGGCUAACUUCGUG